ACACGACACGUGCACCGCCCGGUCAAGUCUAGCCGCCACUCUCGUGAUCUCGUCUCCCGGGGCUUCUCUUCCUCUCCAGUGAUGAGUCUCCUCCAUGGCUUUUGGCAAAAUUUCGUGUUUUGACCCUUGUACCUGCCGCGGAUCUGGAACUGGAGCGAAGAUCCAUCCCCCAUGCGGAUCUGGAUCCAUCUCUUCUCCUCUCCCCUCUCCGAACGGCGGCGAUGAUGGAGGGAGCCGCCGGCGACGGCCGGCCAGGCUCCCGACAGGCGGACUCGCCGCUCCUCGGGGCCAGCCCCUCCCGCCGCGCCCCGCGCAUCGGCUUGGCGACCCCUAGGCGAUGCCGCCGGUGCCGGGGGGCGUCCGCGGCGGCGCGGCCUGUGGCGGGUCCCGGUCGAGGGCUUGCUCGUGCUGGCGCCGGAUCUGAGCCGCCGUCGAUGGAAUCUUGGCAGCUUGGCUGCAUCUUGCUUCGGGUUCGGUACUGUCACCAUCUCUCUCUCUCUCUCUCUGAUUCACACGCGCUCUCUCUUUCCCUCGGUGUGGACGCGCGCACCUGAACCAAAUCAGCCGAGCUCUCGUUGCCGCAUCGCUGACCCGUCGUCCCGGCGGGCGCCGCGUCAGUUCCCCAGCGCCACGGUGCCGCCGGCCACCGCCAUUCCAUUGGCUUGGAUUCGGUUGUGGCGCGGGCAGGGAACCGUAGGGUGAUUGUCUGAUGUGUCGUCCGUGCGGGGGGUUUGGUCGGUCGAGGCCUGGUAUAAUACAUAUGCCACCAUUGUACAUGCCCUGAGCAGGAUGGAUGGAUGCAUGCAUACUCCCGUCUAGAUACAUCCUCUUUUAUCCAUUUCGAUGACAAGUAUUUUCGGACGGAGGGAGUACAUGAUAUCAUGUUGCUUGGUGUGCAGCAGGCGAUGAUGAUGAUGAUGUUGACGACUGUGGCUAAAAUAAGUUGUCUUGAGCAAUCAAGACGGCCUAUAGCCAGCAGCCAGCUAUACUAUUAACCAUGCUCUAAAUAGAAUCAGUGGCCGCGUUGGAGUUGGCCUUAGAGCCCACCCUUACCUCUCUUGUAGCCUGUUCAAUUCAUGGCUGAUGUUGGAUGGCUGUCCCUCGGAUGGUCACUCUGAUGAGUGAUAACCAGGGCAGUUCUCUUAUAUCGCGAUGGGUAGAUUAUGCAGCAAGAGAUGUGAGUGUUGGGUUUGAAGAUGUAAUGCAAAACUGAGCCAUCUUUUGCUUACGAUCUUUGUAACCUCUCCCUCUGUCUCUCUCUUCAAACCCUAAACCAAAUCAGUUGAGUUCUCAGUGCCGACUCACUGACCCAUCGGAUGGGUGGUCGCUGCAUCAGUUCCACACCGCUACGGGGCCAGCCACCGCCAUUCCACUGCCUUGGAUUCGGUUUGUGGCGUUGGCUGGGAACCGUACGGUGUUGUCUGAUGCGUCGUCUGAGCGGGAGGUUUGGUUGGUCGAGGCCAGGUAUGAGCAGUUCCUGAGAUGGAUGGAUGGACGGACGGAUGGGUGUAUGCAUGCCUAUGUGUAUGUAUAUCAUGGUCAUGUUGCUUGUGGUUCGGCGUCCUUUUGGGAAAAAAAUGAGGGGCGAUGAUGAUGCGUGUGGCUGAAAUAAUUAUGUCUUGAGCAAUCAAGACAGCCGUGACGUAUGGGUACUAAAUAGGGCCUGAAUGGGUGCGCCCACGUUGGAGAUGCCCUUAAGAGCCCACCCUUACCUCUCUUGCAGCCUGGUCAAUUCAUCGCUAAUGUUGGAUGUUCUGCGCCUCGGACGGUCAUUCUGAUGAGUGAUAACCAGGUCAGUUCUCUUACAUCACGAUGGGUAGAUCAUGCAGCAAGACUUGUGAGUGUUGGGCUUCAAGAUGACACGCAUACUGAGCCCUCUUUGCUAUGCUACAAAUACUGUUAUAUUUGUGAACGGAGGGAGUAUCUAUCUAUCUAUCUAUCUAUCCAUAUCAGGGGAGAUGAUGGUCAAACAUGUCUGACAUGAACUUGUCUUAGAUUAUUCGAGGAGCCGUGGGUAUCAAAAAUCCGAUCUCCUCUCUUUUGGGACCUUUUCAUUCUCACCGAAUAUUGACGGCUCUGUCUUGGAUGGUCAUUCUGUUGAGUAAUAACCAGCAGAGCUUGACUUCAAUGGUGGGGUUUGAUCUGGUCAAGGAAGAUGGUGGAGCUAGUAUGAUCUAUCAAAGGCGAAUGUGAGCCCUCCUACAUCCGAUUCAUAAAAAAGUUAGAACAUCUUAUAUUUGUGAACAGAGGGAGUAUCUAUCUAUGAGGGGCGAUGAUGAUCAAACAUGGCUGACAUAAACCUGUCUUCGAUUAUUUGAGGAGCUGUGGGUAUCAAAACCCGAUCUCCCCUCUUUUGGGACCUUUUCAUUCUCACCGAAUAUUGGCGGCUCUGUCUUGGAUGGUCAUUCUGUUGAGUGAUAACCAGCAAAGCUUGACUUCAAUGGUGGGGGAUGAUCUGGUGAAAGAAGAUGGCGGGGCUAGUAUGAUCUAUCAAAGGCGAAUCUGAGCCCUCUCAAUGCAACUAAUACUGUGCGCUCCCACAUCCAAUUCAUAAAAAAGUUAUUAUGUUUAAAGUGAUAAAUUGUCAUGGUGUUUGGUUUGCCUUCUCCUGAUUUUGUGGUCCAUGGAGGGACCAGUUUUGCGCAUUCAGGCUUUGCUCAAGCUCGUCACAUUGUGGUGGUCCUAGUAUUGGUAGUGGUUGAAUGUGUUUACUUCCUUCUUUUCAUGGGGUUAAAUGUGUGAAACAUGAUCAGCAAAUGUUUGCCCUCUUUUCCUGUCUGCAUGUCCUCCUUUAUGUCCCCAUUAAAUUUCUAGUGGUUCUUAUGGCAGUGAUGUAAAUUCAAGUCUGCAAGAUUUCAACAUUUUUUCUACUGUCUUGGCAUAGCACAGCAACUGCUAACUGGCCUCUAAGAAUACAAUUUGGCCGGUUUGUUUUUUUGCUGAUGACCAUUCUAAUGCUUAUAGACGCCAAUACGUGGAAAACCACAAAAAUCUUGUGUUGUGAAAAUACCAUGACUAUCUUUACCUUUUUGAGAAUUUGUCUUUCUUGCCGGCCUGUAUCCAUGUAUACAUAAAAGAUAUGAUGAGAGUUUGGUUUUGGUUUUAGUUCUUUCGGUAUGCAAAGGACUGUUUUGCAAGGUUACAUUUCGGCCUUUUUUCCUACCCAUUUUACCCAUUUUGUUUGUUUUGCUGUAUGUCAACCAGUUCUGUUGUUUUAGGAACAGUACUCACAUUUUCCUUCUGUUCUCCCUUUUUCUUGAAUGCUAUGAUAGUUCUGCUUUCCCUUGGAAAGUUUUCGAAACUAUCUUAUUUGGUGCGGGGUCAGUUUUCUUCUUUCAAUUGCUAUUUGACUUUUGAUAAUUUCAUUCUUUUACUGUACUGUAUCCACUUAUCAGUUACUAGUAUUUUCGGAUAAUUUUACUUCUUUACUGAUUUCGACUUAAAGGUCAUAUAGGGCAAGUUCAGAUGCGAACAUUACUGUUUCCUUCCUGUCAUGUCCAUGAAUGGCUGUGAUGAUAUAGCUUCCCUGUGAGAGCUUCUGUCUAACACCUGAACUGAUUCAGUUGGUACUAAACUAGGAGGGCUUGUGUGACAGCAAGUAACCAGUUUAGCGGCUAACUAUAAUUCUUAAAUGUUGGAAUUAUGAAUACACUUAACAGUGGAGGGAGGGAGGGAGGGAGGGACGGAGGGAGGGAGAGAGAGAGGGAGAGAGAGAGAUUCCAUGGUCCUUCUACCAGAAGUUCAGUUAUGGUGUUGAGCUGGGGGUAUAUCUGAGCCAUUUACUUGUACACGUCCCAACUUUUGUGCCCACCAGAUCAUGAUUUGCUAUUGGCUUCUCUGUUAUUCUGUUUGUGGAAUUUGUGCUAAGUUCUGUUGAUGGCGAUGAUGAGUAAGGCUCAUUAGAGGUGUACUGAGUUCAGAUACUAUUGCUUGUUUUACGGGUAUGGUUUUGGGUUAGGGUUUUGUGUGACUAGGUGGAAGUGUGCAAAUCGGGACGGCUUGCUUUCUGUGAGCAACCAUUUCAAUGCUCAAAUGUCACACGGGUGUAAGGGCAUCUCCAACGCGGAUCACCAAGGAUACACUAUACAGAGUGGGUUGACCAUAUGAUAGACAAGCCAACUCUGAGCCUCCCAUUUUUAUUGAUAAAUAUGACCUCUCUUUCUACAAUCUGUGGUUAUUUGCUUAUGUAUGUUUUUGAAUAUUCUCAAUCUAUUAAUGAACUAUAGCAGUAUUGGGAUCUCACUGUAAUAUAUGUUAUCAUCUGUGGAACUUACAAGAUAUGCUCAUAGCAAACUGGAUUUUGUGCUAUUUUACACUUACAUACUCAGAAUGCUUUUACUUACUGAUGCAUCAAGAGGUUCUACUUUAUUUGAGGGCCCUGGGAAGCGGCAGAGGGCUUCACAUCUUUUGUUCAAAAUAUGCUGUUAUUUGCAACUUGAUGCCUGUUCAAGUCAUAUAUGCAAGUGUUGGUGGUGCUGUAAUUCAUAUGGUCAAUCACAUUAGGAUGCAACCGAGUGUGAGUGCAUAUGAGCAUUAAGAUGGCGAGAAUACUAGUAAUUGCCAUGUCAGUGGCUUGGCUUUAUGCAUGAGCCCUCGGUGCAACUGUACUAGUACCACACAAUCUGUACUUACAAUAUUAUUCCUCUUUUUCAUCUCUGGAACCAGUUCCCUGUAUUUUGUUUUUGACAGCUAUGUGCCUAGUACAGUUUACUCCCAGAAUUUAGUGGCCUGUUGAUGCUGUUUGUAAGUUA